ACACGACUACAUUAGAUACCCGUGUAGUCCUAGCCGUAAACGAUACUCGCUAGGUGUCGGCCACGGUGCGACCGUUGUCGGUGCCGUAGGGAAGCCGCGAAGCGAGCCACCUGGGAAGUACGGCCGCAAGGCUGAAACUUAAAGGAAUUGGCGGGGGAGCACCACAACGGGUGGAGCUUGCGGUUUAAUUGGAUUCAACGCCGGAAAUCUUACCGGGACCGACAGCAACAUGAAGGCCAGGCUGAAGACUUUGCCGGAUUAGCUG
rnacentral:rRNA from 1 species